CAUGCAUUUGCCUCCACUAGAACAUAACAGACAACCAAACCAUGCUUCCCUGUCUUCGUAUUCCAACCCAAACCCAUCCCCACCCCACUUCAUCCCAACCCAAACUCAUCUUCACCCUACUCAUCUCCAACGACAGAGAGCACGUAAUGGGCGACGACAAUCGUGGUGGGCGACGACAAGAUCUCGAAGAUGGUGACGGCAAGAUCUCGAAAGGGUGACGGCAACUGUGGGGUCUCCGUUUGGUGGCGGCAACGGCAAGAUCUCAGUGGAGGCCAUGACAAGAAAAGAAGAGGGGAUUUCCCCAAGGAUUCACGCCCUUGAGCCUUUCGGGAGAUGGGGUAAAACAAUUAGGCCAUUAGCAAGACUAUUUUCAAUGCUUACGUGAUGGCCGGCUUGCUUGCUUACAGGUAAACACGAGCAAACAUUUUUGGGUUUGCAUAAGGAAACAUAUAAAUAAUUAAAUCUUUAAAAGCAAGUCUCUGGUAGAGGGGAAUACAACGUUUGCAUGUAAGAAUGGAAUAUGAAGAAUCCAGUUUCAAUUCUCUGUAUGCUAAAAUGGAGAAGUGCAUCCACAAAAGCUACUACAAUUUUCAUUGGAAAUUCCGGUGGGGGAAGGAUUUCGAGAAAGAGAGAACCUGGAGCAGAGCAAUUCGGUUUUAAUCACCUGUAUUGUUUUGUAUUGUCCUCAUACACCAGUUUCUUACGUGUCUUAUGCUUAUUGGAGGGCUAUUUUUAUCCUAUAAAUAGCAGGGCUGUCUAGAAGCGUUUCCCUAUUUAAAAAAUAAAUAAAAAGUUUGAAAUUUGAA